AUUGAACGCUGGCGGCAUGCCUUACACAUGCAAGUCGAACGGCAGCACGGGUGCUUGCACCUGGUGGCGAGUGGCGAACGGGUGAGUAAUAUAUCGGAACGUACCUUAUUGUGGGGGAUAACGCAGCGAAAGCUGUGCUAAUACCGCAUAAUCCCUAAGGGGGAAAGCGGGGGACCGUAAGGCCUCGCGCAAUUAGAGCGGCCGAUACCUGAUUAGCUAGUUGGUGAGGUAAAGGCUCAACAAGGCAACGGUCAGUAGCUGGUCUGAGAGGACGGUCAGCCACACUGGGACUGAGACACGGCCCAGACUCCUACGGGAGGCAGCAGUGGGGAAUUUUGGACAAUGGGGGCAACCCUGAUCCACCAAUGCCGCGUGAGUGAAGAAGGCCUUCGGGUUGUAAAGCUCUUUUGUCAGGGAAGAAACAGCAGCUCUAACACAGUUUGCGAAUGACGGUACCUGAAGAAUAAGCACCGGCUAACUACGUGCCAGCAGCCGCCGUAA
rnacentral:rRNA from 1 species